rnacentral:rRNA from 1 species
GGCGACCGGCGCACGGGUGCGUAACGCGUAUGCAACCUACCUUUAACAGGGGGAUAAUCCGAAGAAAUUUGGUCUAAUACCCCAUAAUAUCAUUUAAGGCAUCUUAGAUGGUUGAAAAUUCCGAUGGUUAGAGAUGGGCAUGCGUUGUAUUAGCUAGUUGGUGAGGUAACGGCUCACCAAGGCUACGAUACAUAGGGGGACUGAGAGGUUUUCCCCCCACACUGGUACUGAGACACGGACCAGACUCCUACGGGAGGCAGCAGUGAGGAAUAUUGGUCAAUGGACGCAAGUCUGAACCAGCCAUGCCGCGUGCAGGAUGAAGGUGCUAUGCAUUGUAAACUGCUUUUGUACGAGGGUAAAUGCAGGUACGUGUACCUUGUUUGAAAGUAUCGUACGAAUAAGGGUCGGCUAACUCCGUGCCAGCAGCCGCGGUAAUACGGAGGACCCGAGCGUUAUCCGGAUUUAUUGGGUUUAAAGGGUGCGUAGGCGGAUUAGUAAGUUAGAGGUGAAAGCUCGAUGCUCAACAUCGAAAUUGCCUCUGAUACUGUUAGUCUAGAGUAUAGUUGCGGAAGGCGGAAUGUGUGGUGUAGCGGUGAAAUGCUUAGAUAUCACACAGAACACCGAUU